rnacentral:rRNA from 1 species
CCUACGGGUGGCAGCAGUGGGGAAUAUUGGACAAUGGGCGAAAGCCUGAUCCAGCCAUGCCGCGUGUGUGAAGAAGGCCUUCGGGUUGUAAAGCACUUUCAGUGGGGAAGAAAGCCUUGGGGCUAAUACCCUCGAGGAAGGACAUCACCCACAGAAGAAGCACCGGCUAACUCCGUGCCAGCAGCCGCGGUAAUACGGAGGGUGCGAGCGUUAAUCGGAAUUACUGGGCGUAAAGCGCGCGUAGGCGGUCUGAUAAGCCGGUUGUGAAAGCCCCGGGCUCAACCUGGGAACGGCAUCCGGAACUGUCAGGGUAGAGUGCAGGAGAGGAAGGUAGAAUUCCCGGUGUAGCGGUGAAAUGCGUAGAGAUCGGGAGGAAUACCAGUGGCGAAGGCGGCCUUCUGGACUGACACUGACGCUGAGGUGCGAAAGCGUGGGUAGCAAACAGGAUUAGAUACCCUGGUAGUC